rfam:Glycine soja cultivar W05 scaffold365_27, whole genome shotgun sequence.
UUCUUAUUGGAUUAUGACUGCCACGUGUCAUGUUCUGAUUGGAUGUCGAAUCCAUGGAAGAUGAAAUGCAUUGUUGUUGUCAUUGGCCAAUCAGAACAUGACAUGUGGCAGUCAUCAUCC